CCACGUUGACCUGUGGAUCUGAGUGUCGCGACUGUUGACUUCUGACUUCUCCUUAUGGAAGAAAACAAAACCCUCAUUUGUUUAAGCUAUUGUUGGUGACCCAGGAAACACCCGGUGUGACCCCUCCCCAGGCUGUAAGGUCAGAAGGAAUAUCAGAAGCCACUUCUUCACCCUGACAGGAAAGGAGUCCUUAGGCACACACUC
rnacentral:lncRNA from 1 species